UUAAGCGGAGGACAAGAAACUAAAUAGGAUUCCCCCAGUAAUGGCGAAUGAACAGGGAAGAGCUCAGCAUGGAAAUCGGGGCCUCCCGGCCUUGAAUUGUAGUCUUGAGAUGUACUGCCAACGGAGGCGCAGAUGUAAGCCUCUUGGAAAAGAGCAUCAACGAGGGUGAGAGUCCCGUUUGUCAUCUGCAGUCCCCCGUGCACGGUGUACAUUCUAAGAGUCACGUUCCUCGGGAUUGGAGCGCAAAGUGGGUGGUAAAUUUCAUCUAAAGCUAAAUAUUGGUUCGAGACCGAUAGCAAACAAGUACCAUGAGGGAAAGGUGAAAAGGACUUUGAAAAGAGAGUUAAAAGUGCCUGAAAUUGCUGAAAGGGAAGCGAAUGGAACCAGUGUUCUUGAUGAGAUUGUCGCGUACUCUGGUGAUUGCUGGGUGCUCCACCGCAAGGGGGGCAUUUGGUUUUGAGCUAGAUGUGCGUGGUGUUUCUUGUCUUGUGUGUCACCGUCGGUGCACGAGCGAGUAAACCUCCAGGGAGAUGGUAACUCGUCUGCGGAUGAGUGAAUGUCUUUGGUAGUACUCAUUUGUGUAUCGAUCCCUGCGUGUCUGGUUGCAGUGUUUGAGUCGUCUGGAAGCUUCUGAAAGGCUUGCCCUCGAUGAACUUUCUGGGCUCCUUGAGCAUCUCCCUGACACAAAGACGAUGACUAAAUGGUUC
rnacentral:rRNA from 1 species